rnacentral:rRNA from 1 species
AGCGUGCUUGGGCGAGAGUAGUACUAGGAUGGGUGACCUCCUGGGAAGUCCUCGUGUUGCAUUCC